CGAGGUGCAAGCGUUACUCGGAAUUACUGGCGUAAGCGUGCGUAGGUGGUUGUUAAGUCUGUCGUGAAGCCCUGGGCUCAACCUGGGAAUUGCGAUGGAACUGGGCGACUAGAGUGUGGCAGAGGAUAGUGGAAUUCCUGGUGUAGCAGUGAAAUGCGUAGAGAUCAGGAGGAACAUCCGUGGCGAAGGCGACUGUCUGGGCCAACACUGACACUGAGGCACGAAAGCGUGGGAGCAAACAGGAUU
rnacentral:rRNA from 1 species